rnacentral:rRNA from 1 species
AGUGAACGCUGGCGGUAGGCCUAACACAUGCAAGUCGAACGGCAGCACAGUAAGAGCUUGCUCUUACGGGUGGCGAGUGGCGGACGGGUGAGGAAUACAUCGGAAUCUACUUUUUCGUGGGGGAUAACGUAGGGAAACUUACGCUAAUACCGCAUACGACCUACGGGUGAAAGCAGUGGAUCUUCGGACCUUGCGCGAUUGAAUGAGCCGAUGUCGGAUUAGCUAGUUGGCGGGGUAAAGGCCCACCAAGGCGACGAUCCGUAGCUGGUCUGAGAGGAUGAUCAGCCACACUGGAACUGAGACACGGUCCAGACUCCUACGGGAGGCAGCAGUGGGGAAUAUUGGACAAUGGGCGAAAGCCUGAUCCAGCAAUACCGCGUGGGUGAAGAAGGCCUUCGGGUUGUAAAGCCCUUUUGUUGGGAAAGAAAAGCAGCAGGUUAAUACCCCGCUGUUCUGACGGUACCCAAAGAAUAAGCACCGGCUAACUUCGUG